CUUGGUAGAGCAUUCGGUUUGGGACCGAAGGGUCGCAGGUUCGAAUCCUGUCUUCCCGA
rnacentral:tRNA from 1 species